rnacentral:snRNA from 1 species
GGAUAUGAAGGCAAUAUGGCUGCAACAUCUGCCACCCAGCAUUGCCAGGUUGAUUGGGCUGAUCUGGCUGGCUAGGCGGGUGUCCCUUCCCUCCCUCACUGCUCCACGUGUGUCCCUCUGAAGCUACACACUUGGUCAAAGAGGACAACCUUCCCCAACAGAAGAGGACCAUUCUUCAUUCACAGGUAUACACGUAGCUGCACUCCCUGCUGGAAGCUCUCAAGAUAUGGUGUUUUAUUUGUUACCAUGGCAGAGCCUAACCUUUCCU